UACAGAGACUGCAAGCGUUAUUCGGAUUCACUGGGCGUAAAGGGUGCGCAGGCGGUCGGGUGUGUCAGAUGUGAAAUCCCGAGGCUCAACCUCGGAACUGCGUCUGAAACUACUCGACUAGAGUACUGGAGAGGGUAACGGAAUUCACGGUGUAGCAGUGAAAUGCGUAGAUAUCGUGAGGAACACCAGUGGCGAAGGCGGCUCACUGGACCGGUACUGACGCUGAGGCGCGAAAGCGUGGGGAGCAAACGGG
rnacentral:rRNA from 1 species